rnacentral:rRNA from 1 species
AGAGAUGUGUGAUGACGCAUAUCAAUAAGCGGAGGAAAAGAAACUAACUAGGAUCCCUUAGGUAACGGCGAGUGAAGCGGGAAGAGCUCAAAUUUGAAAUCUUCAAGGUUCUACCUUGACGAAUUGUAGUUUAUAGAAGUGUUUUCUGUUAGUAGAGUGGCAAAAGUUCUUUGGAAUAGGACAUCAUAGAGGGUGAGAAUCCCGUAUUUGGUCAUUCCUCCUAGCGUUGUGAUACACUUUCAACGAGUCGGAUUGUUUGGGAAUGCAGUCCAAAAUGGGUGGUAAAUUUCAUCUAAAGCUAAAUAUUGGCGAGAGACCGAUAGCGAACAAGUACCGUGAGGGAAAGAUGAAAAGAACUUUGAAAAGAGAGUUAAACAGUACGUGAAAUUGUCAAAAGGGAAGCGUUUGACACCAGUGUUGUUUUUCCGAAAAUCAAUUACGAAUGUUUUGUUUUUAAGAAGUUAUGACUUCAUCGGCUUGCUUCUUUCUUUACGAAACUUUCUUAAUGCACUUUUCGGUUAACAAGUCAACAUCAAUUUCUUUUGUUGUAAAAGGGUACGAGGAAGGUGGCUUUCUUUUCGGAGAAAGUGCUUAUAGCCUUGUACCUCUGCAAUCGGAGAGAUUGAGGUCUGCAGCGUAGAUCCUUCGGGGUUAGAUACAUUUGUGCUAAGUUAUAGCUUUUCAUAGACAACUUGUUGACUAUGUUAAGUCUUGUAGCUUACUCGCUUAUGCUAUUUUACCUACGCUUAGGAUGUUGACGAUCAGCUGAGCGCG